AGAGAAUCGUGUUUGAGAAGAGAAUUCAGAAUUGGCCUGAGAACUCAAGUUAUCUUUAACUAUGGGACCUAAUGAGUUGUGUUGACACAUGAUUCUAGGCUCCUUACCCAGGUGGCCUCUCCUGUCAUCACUACAGUGAGUCUCAUCCAAAUCAGGAGUUUCAGCCACCACUACUUCCUGCAACACUUACAAUGCAAUAAUAUUAACCCCAAGGAAAAGUUGUAUCGAGCACCUCUUUUUCAUAUUCUUUCAAUGGACACCAGCAAGCAGCAUCCAAUUGUGUGAAGCUUCUAGGAGGAAUGAGUUCCUCCUUGCUUGUCAAUGACCUGUGUGCGCCUGUCCUCUGAAGGAAAGUGUACAUCUGCUGCCUGUUGGCGGAAGACUUGGAGAUAAGUCACCACAGGAAAGGUUUGACCUUCAGUUGCUGUCUACAGCACUACGGGGGUGAUUCUCUGGAAGGUUGGCAUCAGCAGGCUCAAGGGUCUAGAAGAGCAAGUUGCCUACCACAGCUUCAUUUGUUCAGUGGAUGGAUGGAUUGAUAAACAGACUACUGUUUCAAAAGACCUAUUCUCAUAUUAACUUGUAAUAGGACCACAAGAGCAUAAGGAUCUCUUCAGAAUCAAAGAAAGUAUUGGCUGUAAAUCAAAGGAUUAGUGAUAUCAGAAA